CAUUACCGAGUGAGGGCCCUUUGGGUCCAACCUCCCACCCGUGUUUAUUUUACCUUGUUGCUUCGGCGGGCCCGCCUUUACUGGCCGCCGGGGGGCUCACGCCCCCGGGCCCGCGCCCGCCGAAGACACCUCCGAACUCUGUCUGAAGAUUGAAGUCUGAGUGAAAAUAUAAAUUAUUUAAAACUUUCAACAACGGAUCUCUUGGUUCCGGCAUCGAUGAAGAACGCAGCGAAAUGCGAUACGUAAUGUGAAUUGCAAAUUCAGUGAAUCAUCGAGUCUUUGAACGCACAUUGCGCCCCCUGGUAUUCCGGGGGGCAUGCCUGUCCGAGCGUCAUUGCUGCCCUCAAGCACGGCUUGUGUGUUGGGCCCCGUCCUCCGAUUCCGGGGGACGGGCCCGAAAGGCAGCGGCGGCACCGCGUCCGGUCCUCGAGCGUAUGGGGCUUUGUCACCCGCUCUGUAGGCCCGGCCGGCGCUUGCCGAUCAACCCAAAUUUUUAUCCAGGUUGACCUCGGAUCAGGUAGGGAUACCCGCUGAACUUAAGCAUAUCAAA
rnacentral:rRNA from 1 species